GAGUUUGAUCCUGGCUCAGGACGAACGCUGGCGGCGCGCCUAACACAUGCAAGUCGAACGAGCGAGAGAGAGCUUGCUUUCUCGAGCGAGUGGCGAACGGGUGAGUAACGCGUGAGGAAUCUGCCUCAAAGAGGGGGACAACAGUUGGAAACGACUGCUAAUACCGCAUAAGCCCACGGCUCGGCAUCGAGCAGAGGGAAAAGGAGCAAUCCGCUUUGAGAUGGCCUCGCGUCCGAUUAGCUAGUUGGUGAGGUAAUGGCCCACCAAGGCGACGAUCGGUAGCCGGACUGAGAGGUUGAACGGCCACAUUGGGACUGAGACACGGCCCAGACUCCUACGGGAGGCAGCAGUGGGGAAUAUUGCACAAUGGGGGAAACCCUGAUGCAGCGACGCCGCGUGGAGGAAGAAGGUCUUCGGAUUGUAAACUCCUGUUGUUGAGGAAGAUAAUGACGGUACUCAACAAGGAAGUGACGGCUAACUACGUGCCAGCAGCCGCGGUAAAACGUAGGUCACAAGCGUUGUCCGGAAUUACUGGGUGUAAAGGGAGCGCAGGUGGGAAGACAAGUUGGAAGUGAAAUCUAUGGGCUCAACCCAUAAACUGCUUUCAAAACUGUUUUUCUUGAGUAGCGCAGAGGUAGGCGGAAUUCCCGGUGUAGCGGUGGAAUGCGUAGAUAUCGGGAGGAACACAGUGGCGAAGGCGGCUACUGGGCACCAACUGACGCUGAGGCUCGAAAGUGUGGGUAGCAAACAGGAUUAGAUACCUGGUAGUCCACACCGUAAACGAUGAUUACUAGGUGUUGGAGGAUUGACCCCUUCAGUGCCGCAGUUAACACAAUAAGUAAUCCACCUGGGGAGUACGACCGCAAGGUUGAAACUCAAAGGAAUUGACGGGGGCCCGCACAAGCAGUGGAGUAUGUGGUUUAAUUCGACGCAACGCGAAGAACCUUACCAAGUCUUGACAUCCCUUGACGAUGCUGGAAACAGUAUUUCUCUUCGGAGCAAGGAGACAGGUGGUGCAUGGUUGUCGUCAGCUCGUGUCGUGAGAUGUUGGGUUAAGUCCCGCAACGAGCGCAACCCUUACUGUCAGUUACUACGCAAGAGGACUCUGGCAGGACUGCCGUUGACAAAACGGAGGAAGGUGGGGAUGACGUCAAAUCAUCAUGCCCUUUAUGACUUGGGCUACACACGUACUACAAUGGCGUUAAACAAAGAGAAGCAAGACCGCGAGGUGGAGCAAAACUCAGAAACAACGUCCCAGUUCGGACUGCAGGCUGCAACUCGCCUGCACGAAGUCGGAAUUGCUAGUAAUCGUGGAUCAGCAUGCCACGGUGAAUACGUUCCCGGGCCUUGUACACACCGCCCGUC
rnacentral:rRNA from 1 species